rnacentral:lncRNA from 1 species
GAGCCGUUUUCCUCAGCCUAGCACUGUUGAUGCUCAUUCUGGCCCCGGUCCCAAAGUAAGCUGCUCAAAGCGGCGGACUAGACUGGUCAGCUUCCUCCCUUGCCCCAGAACACACUUCGUUUUUUCUUAGAGGAAGAGGCUUCCAGCUCUCCUGCGUUCUGCUUUCCCAUGGCUGAAGUGACUCCCCGGAGAGCAGAGGUCUGUGGACCACCCAACAUGUGAAGGAAAUUGCCCCUGGUAUGGACAUGCCAAUGUCUGGCUGUGUCUCCGCUUCCUUGGGAUUUGGCUCGGCUUCUGUCCACGGGACUAAUGUAACCCUCAUCAACUGAAUCUUUCUGAACUCAUCAGCAAGCCAGGGGUUGGAGGAGGCCCUCUGAGCAGCCCUGGCAGAUCACUCAGGGUCCUCUUUGUUGUGGCGCCCUGGGAAGAAAGCCCCACUAGGAGCUUAGUAGUCACAUAGCAGAGUAAGGGGGCUGUCUGUGCCUCUGCCAGUUGCCACUCAGGGGCGGCUCCCUGUGCACUCUGCGGGGUAAGACAUCGCCUGAGCUAAGGCUGCAGGCUUCUAUUGAGGUAGUGCACGAAGCCCACAGCCAACCCUUUCUGUCUUGAUUUGUAAAGCAGUACCACCCUCCUGCCUUCAUCAUGUCCAGCUGGGACCUGAGGGGAACUCUGAGCCUUGAGGCCUGGGAGUUCGCCCUCAUCUUGGUCUCUGCUCAACCCUGGUCAAGGCUCUGCCUGGAGUUCCCACUGCUGCUGUUGCUCCUUAAAUGGACUCACUGGGCGUUGGGGAUGGGGACGGAAAGCUCACGUCAACAUUCCAAGUCCCAACU